UACGAAGGGGGCAAGCGUUGUUCGGAAUUACUGGGCGUAAAGGGCGCGUAGGCGGCGUGGUAAGUCAAUUGUGAAAUCUCCGAGCUUAACUCGGAACGGUCAAUUGAUACUGCUGUGCUAGAGUGCAGAAAGGGCAAUCGGAAUUCUUGGUGUAGCGGUGAAAUGCGUAGAUAUCAAGAGGAACACCUGAGGCGAAGGCGGGUUGCUAGGCUGACACUGACGCUGAGGCGCGAAAGCUAGGGUAGCAAACGGG
rnacentral:rRNA from 1 species